CUGAAAGUUAGUGUCAUCCACUCCCGGUUGCAAACUUCUUUGAAGUUUUGAAUUGAACUGAACCAGUUACACGUUGGCCAUUUCCUUUACAGAGACUGUUUAGUGUUGGCUGUUUCUCUAGGCCUCAAAAAUAUCGUUAUUCUUAUCUUUAUUUUAUUUUAUUCUUCUAUCCUUAGGCCAUUUUGCCUAUAGAUAUUUUUGGUAUGUAAGCAAGGGAGAAACCAUGACUCAAUAUGAAGUUAAUGGACUUGAGGUUGAGAUCCUCUUUAAUAUUGUGAAUGUAACAGAUUAUUAAAGAAGUUAAUGUAACGUGCUAUGAAUAAUCAUGACAUAACCAUGAUGUGUAGUUUAGUAUUUCCAUUUUUUGGUAUUAAAAUAAAUGUUUCUUAAUUGUUUUUCUUGGGUGUCUACUUAGUUGUAACUGCUGCAUUUUUACUACUCAUUGCUUUGCAGCUUCGAGCUUUUUCAGCGGCAACAAGCUUCUCAUCAAUGGCAGCCAAGGCUAAAUGAACUUGUGAAGCGCUUGGAGGAAUCCCUAUUUAAGAAUUCUACUUCAAAGGAGGAGUACAUGAACAUGGAAACACUAGAGCACCGGUUGCAAACUUCAUUGAGAUCUGAAAGUUAGUCUCAUCAAACUGGUACAUGAACGACCUCAGGCAACCUGCUGAGGAUAGUGAUGGCGACUAUUACAGGGAUUCAAGUAGUGAUGGAAGAAGUGAUUCUGAGCUUGAAAGAGGGUUCAAAUAUACAAGGGAGCGGUCGAACCGUCAUCAUCCUACA